AUGAACGCUGGCGGCGUGCCUCAUACAUGCAAGUCGAGCGAACGGACGAGAAGCUUGCUUCUCUGAUGUUAGCGGCGGACGGGUGAGUAACACGUGGAUAACCUACCUAUAAGACUGGGAUAACUUCGGGAAACCGGAGCUAAUACCGGAUAAUAUUUUGAACCGCAUGGUUCAAAAGUGAAAGACGGUCUUGCUGUCACUUAUAGAUGGAUCCGCGCUGCAUUAGCUAGUUGGUAAGGUAACGGCUUACCAAGGCAACGAUGCAUAGCCGACCUGAGAGGGUGAUCGGCCACACGGGAACUGAGACACGGUCCAGAGUCCUACGGGAGGCAGCAGUAGGGAAUCUUCCGCAAUGGGCGAAAGCCUGACGGAGCAACGCCGCGUGAGUGAUGAAGGUCUUCGGAUCGUAAAACUCUGUUAUUAGGGAAGAACAUAUGUGUAAGUAACUGUGCACAUCUUGACGGUACCUAAUCAGAAAGCCACGGCUAACUACGUG
rnacentral:rRNA from 1 species